GGGGACCCCGGGAAACCCUGCCCCUCCCCACCCACUCCCCCACACCGCCGCCGCCUCGGGACGCCAAGGAAGGGGGCGAGAGAUGAGGCAACUGAACACCAGAGAUGCGAGAUGAGUUUUUGGAAAUCAGGCAACUAAUUAGCAGCAGAACGAAGCCCUUUUCCUUGGAAGAAUCCAAGUGGACUGUGGAAACUUAUAGAAUCUACAUGUCUACCGCUCAAACAUGGAGCAACUGACAGAGGCCACAGAAGCCAGAGUUAAGAAACCGUAAGCAAAGGGAGGGGAGGACCCUUGCUCUAUUCCAGCUCCAGCCCAAUGCCAAGCUCUUGGAGCUGAGUAACCACCUGUUGAUUGAUCGUUACCGUGGCAAGAGCCUCCGAAAGAGCAUGAACAAACAAGUGAGGAGACUGAGCACAGAGAGUGAAGCGAUUUGGCACAGGUCAAACCACUGUUACGAGGAGGAGGAGGAGGGACGCAAGCUCCACCCCCCUGACCGCAGAGCCUGGGCAGGAAAUCACCACUUUCACUGAUGUUAUUCUGUCACUUUCAUAUCCACGAAAUGAAUAGGCAUUUACAGGGGAAGAUGUACAAUAUGGAUAUAAAACAACAAUCAGAAUCAUUUAUUACUUACCUGCUCUGGUGGUACUGACAACAGAAUAAAAGGAAUCACAUCAACAAUAAUAAAAAACUUUGCCUAGAGGGAAAUAGACAUAUGAAGUAACACCAUAAACAGAUAUUCUGUAUUUUCUUUUUUACGAUUCUACUCGUUUUGUCCCAUUUUACUUGACAUAUGGCUCACUUCAUAAGAAUGUUUAAAUAUUGAUUUCCAAAUAGCUUCACUUACUUGGUCCUAAAACAAUAUUAACAGACCAUGUAGCUUCCGGAAGGAUCUGUUCUGCUGUUUCUGUAAA